CAUGACUACGAUGAGACAUUUGCUCUUGUAGCUCACAUGAUCAUCGUUCGUACACUUCUCGUUGUGGAUUCUAUUCAACAUUGGCUUGUCUCUCAUCUUGAUGUCAAGAAUGCAUUUCUUAAUGGUGACUUUCAUGAGGAAGCCUACAUGCAACGACCACCUGGGUAUUCUGUUCUUGAUGGCAUCGUCUAUCGUCUUUGUCACUCUCUCUAUGGCCUUAAGCAAGCCCCUCGUGUCUGGUAUGAGUGUUUCGCCUCAAAGGUGAUUGUGGCUGGUUUUUCAGCGAGUGCUCAUGAUCCUGCACUUUUUUUCCACCUUUCAGCUCAUGGU
rnacentral:rRNA from 1 species